rnacentral:rRNA from 1 species
GAUGAACGCUAGCUACAGGCUUAACACAUGCAAGUCGAGGGACAGACGCACGGGUGAGUAACACGUAUACAACGGGCACUUUACUCGAGGAUAGCCUUGCGAAAGAAAGAUUAAUACCCGAUAUAAUGGAUGGGGAUGCGUUCCAGUAGGUUGUUGGUGAGGUAACGGCGCACCAAGUCUUGGAUGGAUAGGGGUUCUGAGAGGAAGGUCCCCCACAUUUGAACUGCUACACUGUCCAAACUCCUACGGGAGGCAUCAGUGAGGGAUAUUGGUCAAUGGGCGGUAGCCUGACUCAGCCAAGUAUAUGGAAGAAUGAAGGCUUAUGGGUCCUAAAAUUCUUUUAUAUAAGAAUAGGUAUUUUAUGAAUAAGGAUCGGCUAACUCCGUGCCAGCAGCCGCGGUAAUAC